CUUCAUAGAAGCAACGUCAGGGCAAUCUAAUUAACGUUAAAGCAUUUAGCUUUCGCAAUGAUAGGAUAUAAACUCCAUGGAACCCAAAGUCAUCAGAACCACAGACUUGAUCAAGAAUGGGAACUUUAGUAAAUUGCUUGUCUGGGAAAAGCUCUAUUGAAAGUGGAUUAGAGUAUUCAGCUGUCAAAUUUUCCAAAAGCCCAGUUUUGUGACCUAAUUUGCUUUUCAAAUGGUCCAACUCAGUUCCAAAUCUUCAAGAAGCUGUCCCAUGAGCCAGUGCAAACACACAUGCCAUCUGGUGGUAC